rnacentral:rRNA from 1 species
UACGAAGGGGGCUAGCGUUGCUCGGAAUCACUGGGCGUAAAGCGCACGUAGGCGGAUCUUUAAGUCAGGGGUGAAAUCCCAAGGCUCAACCUUGGAACUGCCUUUGAUACUGGGGAUCUCGAGUCCGGAAGAGGUUGGUGGAACUGCGAGUGUAGAGGUGAAAUUCGUAGAUAUUCGCAAGAACACCCGUGGCGAAGGCGGCUCUCUGGAACGCAACUGACGCUGAGACGCGAAAGCGUGGGGAGCAAACAGG